ACGAACCUUCGGGUUAGUGGCGGACGGGUGAGUAACACGUGGGAACGUACCUUUUGGUUCGGAAUAACGCAGAGAAAUUUGCGCUAAUACCGAAUGUGCCCUUCGGGGGAAAGAUUUAUCGCCAUUAGAGCGGCCCGCGUUAGAUUAGCUAGUUGGUGGGGUAAAGGCCCACCAAGGCUACGAUCUAUAGCUGGUCUGAGAGGAUGAUCAGCCACACUGGGACUGAGACACGGCCCAGACUCCUACGGGAGGCAGCAGUGGGGAAUCUUGCGCAAUGGGCGAAAGCCUGACGCAGCCAUGCCGCGUGAAUGAUGAAGGUCUUAGGAUUGUAAAAUUCUUUCAGUAGGGACGAUAAUGACGGUACCUACAGAAGAAGCCCCGGCUAACUUCGUGCCAGCAGCCGCGGUAAU
rnacentral:rRNA from 1 species